rnacentral:rRNA from 1 species
AAGGAAGUGAUUCCGGCGGAGGAUGGGCAUGCGGCGCAUUAGCUAGUUGGCGGGGUAACGGCCCACCAAGGCGACGAUGCGUAGGGGUUCUGAGAGGAAGGUCCCCCACACUGGUACUGAGACACGGACCAGACUCCUACGGGAGGCAGCAGUGAGGAAUAUUGGUCAAUGGGCGGGAGCCUGAACCAGCCAAGUCGCGUGAGGGAAGACGGUCCUAUGGAUUGUAAACCUCUUUAGGCGGGGAGCAAUGCCGGGCACGCGUGCCCGGAGGGAGAGUACCCGCAGAAUAAGCAUCGGCUAACUCCGUGCCAGCAGCCGCGGUAAUACGGAGGAUGCGAGCGUUAUCCGGAUUUAUUGGGUUUAAAGGGUGCGUAGGCGGAUUUUUAAGUCAGCGGUAAAAUGUCCGGGCUCAACCCGGGCCGGCCGUUGAAACUGGGGAUCUUGAGUGGGCGAGAAGUAUGCGGAAUGCGUGGUGUAGCGGUGAAAUGCAUAGAUAUCACGCAGAACUCCGAUUGCGAAGGCAGCAUACCGGCGCCCGACUGACGCUGAGGCACGAAAGCGUGGGGAUCGAACAGGAUUAGAUACCCUGGUAGUCCACGCAGUAAACGAUGAAUGCUAGUUGUCCGGUUCUUUGGGACUGG